GCCCGGCUAGCUCAAUCGGUAGAGCGUGAGACUCUUACAACACCGAUUCAACGGUGAUAUAGGCAUCUCAAGGCUGCGGGUUCGACCCCCGCGUUGGGCU